GUUCUCGUAGCCCAACGGAUACGGCGCGACGCUUCGAACGUCGAGAUUGCAGGUUCGAUUCCUGCCGGGAACA
rnacentral:tRNA from 1 species